rnacentral:tRNA from 3 species
GCGGACGUGGCGGAAUCGGUAUACGCAGCAGACUUAAAAUCUGCCGACCUCUGGUCUUGCGGGUUCAAGUCCCGCCGUCCGCACCA